AGGGUGGCAUAGACGGCGAGCCCAGGGAGGCCACUGACAUGCAUUCAAGAGAAAAGAAAAGAAGCCAGGCUUUGGCAUAAGUGCUUCAUGGUGGAGUGAGAAUGGCUUGCCCUGGAAGGGUCAUGUUUUAGAAGGAGUGAUCUUCAUUGUGAAGUCUAAACUGUUCUGGAAAUAUAAGCUUUGAAACCCAGAAGACACUAAAGUAAAAGAACCAUCAACACAAGUGACAUGUCAUAGCAGGAGCUGACACAGCCUCACCAGCCCAUGCUCGGCCAGACUAGGGUCCCGUCUGUUUUCUGUGCUGUACCAGCUUGCUGUGACCGUCUCCUGUGGUCUUGCAUAUGUCCCUUGCUACAGCUGGUCUGUUGGUCAGUGAACAUGCAACCUCAGUUGGAAGAAUGUGGCAGAAUUGGCCGGAAGCAGAAUUGCCUGUUUCCAGUGAGGCCCCCUUGCCCUCUUGGAAGCAAUUGCUGUGUAGGAAGUCUGAACACCUCACAGGAGAUGGAGGCCAGUUCCUGCCUGCUGUAGCCACCCAGCUGAAGGGGGUCCAGACACGAGUGGAGGCAUUGUGACCUCCAGCCUCAGCAGACACCUCCACACUGCGCAGGGCAGAGCAACCACGCCACCGAGUGAGCCCCAUUUGCAGACUUUGAGCAAAUAAUGAUUGUGCACGUUGGAUCAUUUAUUGAGUUUCUCUCGUACACCAAGCACUGGUUGGAUCCCAUGCUUGUUGGUGACAGAACUGCUGUGAUGCCAGUCCUGCGUCCCCUUCAGCCUGUGAAGGAGGAGCACCAUGAACCAGCCAACUAACACGUGUCUAAUCACAUAAAGGGAACUGAACACCAGAGAGCCACAGUCACUUUCCGAAGGUCACACAGCAAGUGCAAAUGAGGCCUCAUCCUCAGGGCUGGGUUCCAGGCCUGCUGGGCAGGUCGGUUACUGCUGCACAAAAUUUCUGUUAUCCUAAAAUUGUUUCAGACAAGCACCAAAGGACGUCCCAUAGUUCUGCUUGACUAAGGUUUAAUGAAGUUAAUGUUCAUACUUUCCACUCUAUUUUUCCACUCUUUAAGGAUCCAAAUUUUCUUGGUGUAGCUGCGUAUAAAAGUUUAACUAUUACAGAGAUAACCACAAAAUUUGAUGAGGCUUCAUUGAGUGGAAAACACUGUAGUCCAAAUAAAUGCAGAAAUCAUUGGUUUGGGAACCAAGGGA